rnacentral:rRNA from 1 species
UACGGAGGGGGGCUAGCGUUGUUCGGAAUUACUGGGCGUAAAGCGCACGUAGGCGGCUUUGUAAGUUAGAGGUGAAAGCCCGGGGCUCAACUCCGGAAUUGCCUUUAAGACUGCAUCGCUAGAAUUGUGGAGAGGUAAGUGGAAUUCCGAGUGUAGAGGUGAAAUUCGUAGAUAUUCGGAAGAACACCAGUGGCGAAGGCGGCUCACUGGACUGGUAUUGACGCUGAGGUGCGAAAGCGUGGGGGAGCAAACAGG